GCUAGGAAUAAUGGAAUAGGACUCUGGUUCUAUUUUGUUGGUUUUUGGAACUGGGGCCAUGAUUAAGAAGGACGGCCAGGGGCAUUUGUAUUGUGCCACUAGAGGUGAAAUUCUUGGACUGGCGCAAGAGGAACCAGAGCGAAAGCAUUUGCCAAGAAUGUUUUCAUUAAUCAAGAACAAAAGUCGGAGGUUCAAAGAUUAACAGAUACUGUCAUAGUUCCAACCAUAAACGAUGCUGACUAGC